rnacentral:lncRNA from 1 species
UUUCCAUCUAAACCACUAGAAGUCAGACCCAAUUCCUGCGGCUUCAGCCUGGCCCCAGGACUCGUGAGGACUGGGGUAUGAUCUCCACUUCGCAAGGGGAAGCCAGUGGCUCUCUAAAUCUUCCUAGAGUGCCCUGUGUCCUGAGGAUGGGGUUGGGCGGGGGAAACAUCCAUUGAAAUCAGGAUGGAAGAAAAGUUCCUGAGGCAAUGCGAAAUCCACAGGACAGAAGAAACCUGGUUCUGGAAUCCCCUCUUGGAAGUGAGCUGCCUGCUGAUUAAUAAUACUUGUUGUUUUGGAUUUUAUGUAAGCUCAAAAUAUACUUUAUGGGUGUGACCCAAUGAGAUUUGAGGAUUUGUUUAUUACAGAAACUAGCAUUGCCCUAACUAAUAUAUAUCCAGUCACAUUUCUUUCCACUCUAAUACACAAAAAUCUCUAUGCUGCUCAGAAGAGUUUCCAUCUCCCCCACUACUGCUUAUAUGUCUUCUGCCUAGAAUAUCUUCAAUUGCUUUCUUCCUAUUUUAAACUAUUCAUCUUUAAGGCCCAAGCUAAGUGCCAUCUCUUUGUUUGUAUAUUUGUUUUAUUAUUAUUAUUAUUAUUUUUUGGAGACAAGAGUCUCGCUCUGUUGCCCAGGCUGGGGUGCAGUGAUGAAUCUCAGCUCACUGCAACUUCUGCCUCCCGGGUUCAAGUGGUUCUCCUGCCUCAGCCUCCCGAGUAGCUGGGACUACAGGCACGUGCCAUCACACCUGGCUAAUUUGUUGUACUUUUAGUAGAAAUGGGGUUUCACCAUGUUAGCCAGGAAGGCCUUGAUCUCCUGACCUCGUGAUCUGCCCACCUUGGCCUCCCAAAGUGCUGAGAUUACAGGCCUGAGCCACCGCGCCCAGCCUAUUUUUAAUUUUUGAGUCUUGUUCUGUUGUCCAGGCUGGAGUGCAGUGGCACAAUCACAACUCACUGCAGCCUUGACCUCCUGGGCCCAAGCGAUCCCACCAUGCCUGUGCUCCCAGCUACUUGGGAUGCUGAGAUAGGGGAUUUUUUUUUUCUUUUAUGUAGAGCUGAUGUCUUGCUAUGUUGCCCAGGCUGGUCUCAAACUACUGAGUUUAAGUGAUCCCCCUGCCUUGACCUCCCAAAGUGCUGGGAUUACAGGUGUAGGCCACUGUGUCUGGCCUACAUCUCUUUGGUGAAGCCUUCCCAUACCACCUAUCUUUCAAGUCAACUGCAGUAUCUCUGUCUAUCAUCUGUUUAUUCAUUCAUUCAUUCUCUUAACAGGGUUUAUGAGCACCUUCAUGAAUGUCCACUGCUCUAUGCUAAGCACUGAAUAUUUAGAAGAAGACAAAUCCCAGGCCACACUAUCUGAAAGUUUAGUGAAGACAGUAGAUGAAACAAAAAAUAGACAUCACAAUCCACUGUAAUAUGUGCUAAGUUUGGCAAUGCACAGGGUGCUGUGGUUACAUUGAGAAGGAAUGAUAGGCUCAGUUUGGGAAGAGCUAUAUUCAAUAAAUAAUCACUAUUGUUAUUUUGCCAGGUCUCAUAUUUAGUCUGUUAGCAAAAGUCAGUGGGCAAUCAACGGCCCUCUGGAUGACCCAUGAUGCACUGUCUCUCUUUUUUGCCUCAUUUUUCACCAUAUGCUACUCAAUGGUUCCAGCUUGUCAUCAUCAUAUCAGUUACUAGAGAAAAAACUUGUUCAGAGAAGGGAAGACUUAAAUGAAUGGGCAACAGGCCUAAUGAGAAAGGGGUGUUGGGUAUGGAAAGCUGUAGAGGGAAUCUGACAUUUAUUGAAUGACUACUGUGUGCCAUACACUACUGCCUUUUAUUUCACUUAAACAGCACAACAAUCCUGUAAACUUAGUAUUAUUUUUGUGCAUAUUUUAUAGAAGAGGUAACUGAGGUUCAGCAAUGUGACAUCACUUGCCAAGUUCUUGUAUCAAGGAAGGGAUGGAGCCCCUAGGUUUAAAGUUUUCCUGAAACCAAGCUGCCAACCACAAUGCUGCUAUUGGUCAGGGUUCUGGUAGGAGAG